UCUCCUUCUCUUUCAGUCUCUCUCUCUUUCCCUUUCAUUCUUUCUCUCUCCUUCUUUCUCAUUCCAUCUCUCCUUUUUCUUUCAGUCUCUCUCUCUCUCUCUCUCUUUCAUUCUUUCUCUCUCCUUCUUUCUCACUCCCCCAUCUCUCCUUUUUCUUUCAGUCUCUCUCUCUCUCUUUCCCUUUCAUUCUUUCUCUCUCCUUCUUUCUCACUCCCCCACCUCUCUCCUCUUUCAGUCUCUCUCUCUCUCUCUCUGUCUCUCUCUGUGUGCAGGAAGAGAGAGCGGGUGCGAUGAAAAACAACAACAAAACAACAAACCCAGAACCCAACUAGCCAUCUAAAAAAGACCCGAGCUGGACCACCACUAUAUUUGGGGCGUGGGGUGAAAU
rnacentral:lncRNA from 1 species